rnacentral:tRNA from 1 species
GUGGCCGUAGCUCAGCCCGGUAGAGCCCCGCGUUGUGGGCGCGGUUGUCGCGGGUUCAAAUCCCGUCGGUCACCCCA